GAUGAACGCUGGCGGCGUGCCUAAUACAUGCAAGUCGAGCGAACAGACGGGGAGCUUGCUCCUCUGACGUUAGCGGCGGACGGGUGAGUAACACGUGGAUAACCUACCUAUAAGACUGGGAUAACUUCGGGAAACCGGAGCUAAUACCGGAUAAUAUAUUGAACCGCAUGGUUCAAUAGUGAAAGACGGUUUUGCUGUCACUUAUAGAUGGAUCCGCGCCGCAUUAGCUAGUUGGUAAGGUAACGGCUUACCAAGGCAACGAUGCGUAGCCGACCUGAGAGGGUGAUCGGCCACACUGGAACUGAGACACGGUCUAGACUCCUACGGGAGGCAGCAGUAGGGAAUCUUCCGCAAUGGGCGAAAGCCUGACGGAGCAACGCCGCGUGAGUGAUGAAGGUCUUCGGAUCGUAAAACUCUGUUAUUAGGGAAGAACAAAUGUGUAAGUAACUAUGCACGUCUUGACGGUACCUAAUCAGAAAGCCACGGCUAACUACGUG
rnacentral:rRNA from 1 species